UACACUCUUUCCCUACACGCAGCCUUCCUAUCUGCUCUGCUACGUACGAAACCCCAACCCAGAAGCAGGUCGUCUACGAAUGGUUUAGCACCAGGUUCCCCACGAACGUGCAGUGC